AUGUGCUUGUGGCUAGAGAGCCCCAUGGGGUCCUCGUGCUCGUGCCAUUUCCCCAGGAAACCGAUCACCAUGGCUGUGCAAGUGGGACGUCCAGCGCAAGCUCCAGCAAGUGGCAAACACUUGGCCCCAGCAGACCUGAUCCAGAUCACAUCACGGCACCUCCAAAACUGCAACAGCGCAUGUGCCAUACACAAGGCAUUGUCUCCUGCCAAACCAUCACACACUACACCAUAUGUGGGUACUCCUUCACUCUUGAGCUAUAAAUCCAUGGCUAGUGACCACCAAACACCACCACUUCAUCCACAGAUAAAGGCAUUCCAACCUCCAACUAGCAGAAGAAUUUCUCCAGUUCCAGAAACACAAGAAACUACCAUGAUGAGUGCCACGACACUCGCUCGGCUGGCCAAGAAGUGGCAGAGGGUGGCGGCUAUCGGGAGGAAGAGGCUCACCUGGUCGCCAUCAAUGUCCACAGAAGAAACCAGAAGGUCGUGCGGCACGUCAUGCUCGUCAGUGGCCGGCAAGGGCCACUGCGUCGUGUACGCUGCCGAUGGUGCAAGGUUCGAGGUACCCAUUGUGUUCCUUGAAACGACCAUCUUCGGCGAGCUCUUGAGGAUGUCCCAGGAGGAGUUCGGCUUCGCAGGAGUAUGCCAUGUGCUUGCUCAGGAGAAGCGCCUCCGCAGACAUGGAGGCCGCAUUCCUCAACACCAUGGCGAUGCCAUGCCACUAUCAUGUGGCCCAACAUUUGGGAGUUGGCCAGCAUUUCGGUGUCUGCUGCUCCUGA